rnacentral:tRNA from 1 species
UCCUUGGUGGUCUAGUAGCUAAGACUCCCAUGCUCCCAGUGCAGGGAGCCCAGGUUCAAUUCUUGGUCAAGGAA